GACGAACGCUGGCGGCGUGCUUAACACAUGCAAGUCGAACGGAAAGGCCCUGCUUUUGUGGGGUGCUCGAGUGGCGAACGGGUGAGUAACACAUGAGUAACCUGCCCUUGACUUUGGGAUAACUUCAGGAAACUGGGGCUAAUACCGGAUAGGAGCUCCUGCUGCAUGGUGGGGGUUGGAAAGUUUCGGCGGUUGGGGAUGGACUCGCGGCUUAUCAGCUUGUUGGUGGGGUAGUGGCUUACCAAGGCUUUGACGGGUAGCCGGCCUGAGAGGGUGACCGGCCACAUUGGGACUGAGAUACGGCCCAGACUCCUACGGGAGGCAGCAGUGGGGAAUAUUGCACAAUGGGCGGAAGCCUGAUGCAGCAACGCCGCGUGCGGGAGGACGGCCUUCGGGUUGUAAACCGCUUUCGCCUGUGACGAAGCGUGAGUGACGGUAAUGGGUAAAGAAGCACCGGCUAACUACGU
rnacentral:rRNA from 1 species